CUAAAAACCAGAGGAAAUCCAGCAGGAAUUAGCCAAUAGUCCACACUAUAAAUAAAUUAAGAUCUGUAUUUUUUUUUUUUACAAAGUUCUGUUAAAAACAUGAUUUUGUUUCUGUUUUUAGGAAAUGACUAUACCGUGGUGCUUAAGGAGAGCAGAACUUGUGUUUAAGUGUGUCAAAGGUUUCAUGAUGGAAAUGGCCUCAUGGGAUGGAGGAAUUUCUAGAACAGUGCAAUUUCUGGUACCACAGGUGUGUUAUCUGCAUCACUGUCACCCCAGUUUAGUCCCUGUUGUUAAUUUUCCUCAUAGACCUGGCUAGCACACUGCCCUAAGCCCAGUGUAACAUAACAGUGUCGGCAACUUUCUAUUUUUCAAGGGGAUAAGUGUUUGGAUGCCAUAGAGGCCUUAGUUGGUUGUUAAAGAAGUCAGCAGCUACCACUGCAGGAUCUUUUAUUUAACCCUAAAGCUAAACUCAUCUUUCCUUUGUUUCCCCCACAUUUAUGUUAUCUAGAUUCUGAAGACGUCAUAAAGAAGAACAUGAGCAGAGAAUGAUUCUGUGUUCAAUGUGGCAUUUAGUAAAAUUAAUGAGACUUUCAUCACUGAUUACACUAGCAUUACCUAGAGGUUCUUCCAGUGAUCAGACUGAUUGAUUCAAACAGCAUAGGUUUUCAGAGGCUGGACCCAGGGAAACAGCCCCUGCCCAUAGCCAUGCAGUUAAAUCACUUCUGACAGAUAAUGUUCACCUAUCUAGAACUACUUGCAUUUCUUCCCUAGUUUAAAAUACUUUUAAAAAACUUUGGAAUCAGUGAUGAUUUAACAAAGGCAAACUUUUUUUUUUUAACCUCUUACAGAGCAUUUCUGAAGAAAUGUUUUAUCAACUUAGUAACAUGCUUCCCCAGAUCUUCCGCGUAUCGUCAACACUGACCCUGACCUCUAAGCACUAGACCCUCGUAGACCAACCCGCUGGCAGAAGAGGAUUGUUUAACACUCCAGGAAUCUGAGCCAUGCUGGGAUUCUGUCAAGCAAAAGAUGCCCAGAAGGAGGACCUGCAAUCCAAUCCGCAAAUCCAAUCAUGACAAAUGUCUGUUAAACAGUCCAAAAAUCCAUGCUAAUCAGCCCUUACUUUAUACAUUUAGUCUUAAAGCUUCUUUAUGGGGGAAAAAAGUCUUUUUUUCCUACGGUUGUGUCCUAUCUGUGAAUAUUAGUGAGUUAAAACUAGGUGUAUAUCACACAUGGACACUAGAUGUAGAUCUUUCACUACAUUUUCAUGGAGAUAUUUGACUUGCCCAAAAGGUUUGGAUCACAUCCGGGACAAGGCUUAAUUAACAUACAAAUAAAAUCUUCCCUCUACCUUAUUUGCCAAGCGAAAAUUAAAAGACAAUGAAAUAUACGUGGCAAGUAUGGAUUUCUUGUGAUAAUCUUUUCAUAGAAACACAAAUACAUGAGACAAACGUGAUUCUUCUUUUUAAAUUCCAUUUCAGAAACUCGUUUUUAAUGUACUCUUUCUAGGUUUUAGAAGUUAAGAAUCAGAAAAAGACUGGAUUCUUUGCCCCCGUCUCAUCUUCCCUUUGUGACCUUGCCCUUGCCUGUUAAUACUGUUUCGUGGGCUGGGAAACCAGUGUGCCUGUACGCAGGCCUGGUGGAAGUUGGUCUGAACCAGCACAUGGUGGUAUUUUCAUUCUCAUCCACAUGGUGACCAUCAGACAGUAAGUAUCCUUCCCAUUUCUCUGCCCUGCUUCCCACAUUCUGCUUCCUGCAUUACUUUGCUGAUAACUACGUCCCCAUUUCUGUCUCUGCCGUUUCUCCACUUUUUCCAUUGUCUUUCCUUAGAACGACUUCCUUAGAUACUUAUGCACAUCUCACUUAUCUAUCCCAUCUAGAACAUAGUUACUCUGAGUAGGGACUACAUCACAUAAAGGCAUUUAUAGAAGCAAUGAUUUCAUCAAAUCCAAGUUGCAUGGAAGUUGUGAUUGGCCAGCUGAGUGAAGUGGAGAACCUCUGACAUCAUCAUAAGAUGGUAGAUCUUUUAUAUCUUUCUAUCUAUACAUAAACUAUAUAUAUAUAUAUAGUUGGUUGUAAAUACAUGAAGUAUAGUCAAUUUACAAUGUUUCUGGUGUAUAGCAAAGUGUUUCAGACACACACACACACACACACGCUUUCCUUUUUGUACUCUCUUCCAUUAUGGUUUAUUGUAAGAUACUGAAGGAGUUCCCAUAGUGGCUCAGCAGAAAUGAAUCUGACUAGUAUCCAUGAGGAUGCAGGUAUGACGCCUGGCUUCACUUAACAGGUUAAGAAUCUGGCAUUGCUGUGGCUGAUGGCGUAGGCCGGCAGCUACAGCCCCAAUUCGACCCCUAGCCUAGAAACCUCCAUAUGCCGCAGGUACGGCCCUAAAGAGACCAAAGGGGAAAAAAAAAUUAUGUGCAUAUAUAUAUAUAAAAUAUGGUUCCCUGUGCUAUACAGUAGGACUUUGUGGUCUAUUUAUUUUAUAUGUAGUAAUUUAUAUCUGCUAACCCAAACUCCUAAUUUAUCCCUUCCCCACCCCUUUUCCCCUUUGGUAACCACUGUUUUGUUUUCUGUGUCUCUGAGUCUGUUUUCUGUUUUGUAAAUAAGUUCAAUUCAGAUAAGUAUAUGUUGAUUCGAAGAAAUAGAAAGCACUCUAUUCAUAUGCCUAAAAGUAAAAAUUUAUGGAAACUCUUUUGAUGCACAAAAUGCUUUCUCAUAACACAGAAUGUGUCUUUAUUUUCUACUCAAGGAAAGGACUGUCCAGUAAUGACCCUAAGGGAACACCUACCCCAGACCGUGUCUCUUACUAAUGCUUUGUAAAUCCUUCUCCAAGGAACCUGAUGAUCCCACCAAGAAGAAGGUAGGUGCCUGCUCUUGGAACAAGAAAUUGGCUUCCAGGCACGAAUGCUACCAUAGAGGCUGAUUCUAACACAAAGCAAGGUAGACAGAAAACUGGGGUGUGCUAGAACAGUGUCAGGAUGUUGGGAUUGGUAGUCUGACAGGUUGAGUUGGAGGUGGGUGUAGUGGGAUCAAUAAAAGGCAUUCAAUGUAUGCCUGUUCAAUCAACUAGGAGUUUGGGACUGGCAGAUACAAACUACUAUAUAAAAUAAAGACACACUGUCCUUUAUAUCACGGGAAACUGUAUUCAAUAUCUUGUAAUAGAAUAUAAUGGAAAAAAA
rnacentral:lncRNA from 1 species